GACGAACGCUGGCGGCGUGCUUAACACAUGCAAGUCGAACGAAGUGGCGAACGGGUGAGUAACGCGUAAUCAACCUGCCCUUCAGAGGGGGACAACAGUUGGAAACGACUGCUAAUACCGCAUACUGAAGGAGGGGCUUGCGUCGGAUUAGCUAGUUGGGGGGGUAACGGCCCACCAAGGCGAUGAUCAGUAGCCGGGCCUGAGGGAGUGACGGCCACAUUGGGAAUGAGGCACGGCCCAGACUCCUACGGGGGGCAGCAGUGGGGAAUCUUCCGCAAUGGACGAAAGUCUGACGGAGCAACGCCGCGUGAGUGAUGACGGCCUUCGGGUUGGAAAGCUCUGUUAAUCGGGACGCGGUACCGGAAUAGAAAGCCACGGCUAACUACGUGCCAGCAGCCGCGGUAAUUC
rnacentral:rRNA from 1 species